rnacentral:rRNA from 1 species
CCUACGGGUGGCAGCAGUGAGGAAUAUUGGUCAAUGGCCGGAAGGCUGAACCAGCCAAGCCGCGUGAAGGACGAAGGUGCCAAGCAUUGUAAACUUCUUUUGUCAAGGAACAAAAUCAGGCUCGAGAGCCUGACCGAGGGUACUUGAAGAAAAAGCAUCGGCUAACUCCGUGCCAGCAGCCGCGGUAAUACGGAGGAUGCGAGCGUUAUCCGGAUUUAUUGGGUUUAAGGGGUGCGUAGGGGGAUGGUUAAGUCAGCGGUAAAAGGUCGGGGCUAAACCCCGGAGAGCCGUUGAAACUGGCUGUCUUGAGAUGUCGAGAGGUAUGCGGAAUGCGCAGUGUAGCGGUGAAAUGCUUAGAUAUUGCGCAGAACUCCGAUUGCGAAGGCAGCAUACCGGCGGCGAUCUGACGCUGAGGCACGAAAGCGUGGGUAUCGAACAGGAUUAGAUACCCCGGUAGUC